GCUGGGCACAGUGGCACAUGUCUGUAAUCCCAGCUACUCGGGGGGCUGAGGUGGGAGGAUCACUUGAGCCCAGGAGUUCUGGGCCGUAGUGCCCUAUGGCCAUCAGAAGCUAGAACUAAGUUCGGCAUCAAUAUGGUGACCUCCUCGCAGAGGGGAAGCACCAGGUUGCCUAAGGAGGGGUGAACUGGUCCAGGUUGGAAACAGAGCAGGUCAAAACUCCCAUGCUGAUCAGUAGUGGGAUACUGCCUGUGAAUAGCCACUGCACUCCAGCCUGGGCAACAUAGCAAGACCGCGUCUUAG
rnacentral:SRP_RNA from 1 species